AGAGUUUGAUCAUGGCUCAGGAUGAACGCUAGCGGCAGGCUUAAUACAUGCAAGUCGAGGGGUAACAUGGGUAGCAAUACCUGAUGACGACCGGCAAACGGGUGCGGAACACGUACGCAACCUUCCCAUAACUGGUGAAUAGCCUUUCGAAAGAGAGAUUAAUACACCGUAACAUAACGAAGAGGCAUCUCUUUGUUAUUAUAGGCUUCGGCCGGUUUUGGAUGGGCGUGCGCCUGAUUAGGUAGUUGGCGGGGUAACGGCCCACCAAGCCUGCGAUCAGUAACUGGUGUGAGAGCACGACCAGUCACACGGGCACUGAGACACGGGCCCGACUCCUACGGGAGGCAGCAGUAAGGAAUAUUGGUCAAUGGACGAAAGUCUGAACCAGCCAUGCCGCGUGAAGGAUGAAGGCCCUCUGGGUUGUAAACUUCUUUUAUCUGGGACGAAAAAAGCUCAUUCUUGAGCACUUGACGGUACCAGAGGAAUAAGCACCGGCUAACUCCGUGCCAGCAGCCGCGGUAAUACGGAGGGUGCAAGCGUUAUCCGGAUUCACUGGGUUUAAAGGGUGCGUAGGUGGGUUUGUAAGUCAGUGGUGAAAUCUCCGGGCUUAACUCGGAAACUGCCAUUGAUACUAUAGAUCUUGAAUCAUCUGGAGGUAAGCGGAAUAUGUCAUGUAGCGGUGAAAUGCUUAGAUAUGACAUAGAACACCAAUUGCGAAGGCAGCUUACUACGGGUGUAUUGACACUGAGGCACGAAAGCGUGGGGAUCAAACAGGAUUAGAUACCCUAGUAGUCC
rnacentral:rRNA from 1 species